AUUGAACGCUGGCGGAAUGCUUUACACAUGCAAGUCGAACGGCAGCACGGACUUCGGUCUGGUGGCGAGUGGCGAACGGGUGAGUAAUGUAUCGGAACGUGCCAGUCGUGGGGGAUAACGUAGUGAAAAUUACGCUAAUACCGCAUACGAUCUAUGGAUGAAAGCGGGGGAUCGCAAGACCUCGCGCGAUUGGAGCGGCCGAUAUCAGAUUAGGUAGUUGGUGGGGUAAAGGCCCACCAAGCCAACGAUCUGUAGCUGGUCUGAGAGGACGACCAGCCACACUGGAACUGAGACACGGUCCAGAAUCCUACGGGAGGCAGCAGUGGGGAAUUUUGGACAAUGGGCGAAAGCCUGAUCCAGCCAUUCCGCGUGCAGGAUGAAGGCCCUCGGGUUGUAAACUGCUUUUGUACAGAACGAAAAGGUUUCUACUAAUACUAGGAGCUCAUGACGGUACUGUAAGAAUAAGCACCGGCUAACUACGUGCCAGCAGCCGCAGUAA
rnacentral:rRNA from 1 species